AAGUCGUAACAAGGUCUCCGUAGGUGAACCUGCGGAGGGAUCAUUACAGAGUUCGUGCCCUCGCGGGUAGAUCUCCCACCCUGUGUUAUUACCACCCUGUUGCUUUGGCGGGCCGCUAGGCUCGUGCCUAGCCACCGGCUCCGGCUGGUGAGCGCCCGCCAGAGGCCCUCAAAACCCUCUAAUCAGUGUCGUCCGAGUACUAUACAAUCGUUAAAACUUUCAACAACGGAUCUCUUGGUUCUGGCAUCGAUGAAGAACGCAGCGAAAUGCGAUAAGUAAUGUGAAUUGCAGAAUUUAGUGAAUCAUCGAAUCUUUGAACGCACAUUGCGCCCCUUGGUAUUCCGAGGGGCAUGCCUGUUCGAGCGUCCAUUACAACCCUCAAGCUCAGCUUGGUCUUGGGCUCCGCCGCCUACUCGGCGGGCCCUAAAAUCAGUGGCGGCGCCGCUGUGGCCCUGCGCGUAGUAAACCUCCUCGCUACAGGGACCCGGCGAACGCUGGCCAGCAACCCCCAACCCUCCACGUUUGACCUCGGAUCAGGUAGGGAUACCCGCUGAACUUAAGCAUAUCAAUAAGCGGAGGAAAAGAAACCAACAGGGAUUACCUCAGUAACGGCGAGUGAAGCGGUAACAGCUCAAAUUUGAAAUCUGGCUCCCCCCGGGGUCCGAGUUGUAAUUUGUAGAAGAUGCUUUGGGUCUGGCUCCGGUCUAAGUUCCUUGGAACAGGACGUCGUGGAGGGUGAGAAUCCCGUAUGUGACCGGCCGCCUUUGCCCGUGUAAAGCUCUUUCGACGAGUCGAGUUGUUUGGGAAUGCAGCUCAAAAUGGGUGGUAUAUUUCAUCUAAAGCUAAAUAUUGGCCAGAGACCGAUAGCGCACAAGUAGAGUGAUCGAAAGAUGAAAAGCACUUUGGAAAGAGAGUUAAACAGUACGUGAAAUUGUUGAAAGGGAAGCGCUUGCAACCAGACUUGCGCGGGGUCAAUCAUCUAGCGUUCUCGCUGGUGCACUUGGCUCCGCUCAGGCCAGCAUCGGUUCAGGUGGUGGGAGAAAGGCCUUGGGAAUGUGGCUCCUCUCGGGGAGUGUUAUAGCCCUCGGUGCAAUGCCGCCUACCUGGACCGAGGACCGCGCUUCGGCUAGGAUGCUGGCGUAAUGGUUGUAAGCGACC
rnacentral:rRNA from 1 species